rnacentral:misc_RNA from 1 species
CGAAAUUCUCGGUGGGCGCGGGCCGGUCACGGCCCGUGCCCCCUGCUGGAAGCGCCGGGAGGCGUCUGACAGCGUAACCCUUUGUGAAACUCAUUCUGAAACACGCACCUUUGGUCUGAACAGCGCAGCCGAAUGACUACA